rnacentral:rRNA from 1 species
AUUCGACGCAACGCGNNAAACCUUACCUACCCUUGACAUGCCAGGAACCUCGCAGAGAUGUGAGGGUGCUCGAAAGAGAAUCUGGACACAGGUGCUGCAUGGCUGUCGUCAGCUCGUGUCGUGAGAUGUUGGGUUAAGUCCCGCAACGAGCGCAACCCUUGCCAUUAGUUGCCACAUUAAGUUGGGCACUCUAAUGGGACUGCCGGUGACAAACCGGAGGAAGGUGGGGAUGACGUCAAGUCCUCAUGGCCCUUAUGGGUAGGGCUACACACGUCAUACAAUGGCGCAUACAGAGGGUUGCCAACCCGCGAGGGGGAGCUAAUCCCAGAAAGUGCGUCGUAGUCCGGAUUGCAGUCUGCAACUCGACUGCAUGAAGUCGGAAUCGCUAGUAAUCGCGGAUCAGCAUGUCGCGGUGAAUACGUUCCCGGGCCUUGUACACACCGCCCGUCACACCAUGGGAGUGGGUUUCACCAGAAGCAGAUAGCCUAACCGCAAGGAGGG